rnacentral:rRNA from 1 species
AGUCGCACGCAUCCUUCGGGAUGAGUGGCAGACGGGUGAGUAACACGUGGGAACGUGGCCUCCGGUCUGGGAUGACCCUGGGAAACUAGGCCUAAUACCGGAUACGUGCUUUGACAAAAAGGUUUACUGCCGGAGGAUCGGCCCGCGUCUGAUUAGCUUGUUGGUGGGGUAACGGCCUACCAAGGUGACGAUCACCCCUUGGUCUGAGAGGAUGAUCAGCCACACUGGGACUGAUACACGGCCCCACUCCUACGGGAGGCCUUGUGGGGAAUAUUGGACAAUGGGCGCAAGCCUGAUCCAGCCAUGCCGCGUGAGUGAUGACGGCCUUAGGGUUGUAAAGCUCUUUUCUCCGGGACGAUAAUGACUGUACCGGAGGAAUAAGCCCCGGCUAACUUCGUGCCAUGCCCGCGGUAAUACGAAGGGGGCUAGCGUUGCUCGGAAUCACUGGGCGUAAAGGGCGCGUAGGCGGAGUUUUAAGUCCGGGGUGAAAGCCUGUGGUUCAACCACUGAAUGGCCUUCUAUACUGGGACGCUUGAGUAUGGUAGAGGUUGGUGGAACUGCCAGUGUACAGGUGAAAUUCUGAUAUAUUCGCAAGAACACCGGUGGCGAAGGCUGCCAACUGGACCAUUACUGACGCUGAUGCGCGAAAGCAUGAGGAGCAUACAUGAUUAUAUACGCUGGUAGUCCACUCCGUACACGAUGAAUGCUAUGUGUUGGGUUGCAUGCUUCGCAGUAGCGCAUCUAACGCAUUACUCAUUCCGCCUGCUGAGUACGGUCGCUUGAUUAAAACUCUAACGAAUUGACGGGGGCCCGCACAAGCGGUGGAGCAUGUGGUUAAAUUCGAAGCUAUCGCGCACAACCUUACCAUCCUCUGACAUGGCCAUGCUUGUCCGAUAGAUCGGACGUUCCCUUCGGGGACCUGCACACACGUGCUGCUGGCUGUAGUCAGCUCGUGUCUUGAUAUGUUGGGUUCAGUCCCAUAACCACCGAAACCCAAGUUCUUCAGUUGCCAUCGUUCACUGGCCACUCUGGGGAGACUGCACGGUGACUAGCCGCCGAUGAUCGAGUAGUAUG